rnacentral:tRNA from 2 species
GGACCGUUAGCUCAGUGGGUUAGAGCACCCGGCUCAUAACCGGAUGGCCCGGGGUUCAAGUCCCUGACGGUCCA